AAGUUUCAUAGAUUGUGGCAAUUCUUUAUUAACCCACCUCUUAUGCAGAAAUGUACAGAUCCAAUGUAUGGACCAAAAAGCAGGAUCAUUCUACAAGGCAUGUUAGUCCACUUCCAUCCUGUGAGGGACAAAAGGGAAGCGAUAGGAAGCUAAAGGGCAUAUUGAUUUAUUGCACUGACUAGCAAGGCCUUGGCCUCUUCAAGCUCUAUCUGGGAAAUCUAAAAUGGAGAGUUGAGACCGUUAGCAAAAUGGCUCAAGGAAGCCUCUCCACUUAGUGAUGACUAGUUAAGUAUUCAUGUAGGAAAAAUUUGGCCUGAAUUAUACUGAAAAUUACAACAGUCCUCUAUAUGACUUUGUAUGUAUAAAUAAACACUGCCUAGGUGUAAUUUAGACAUUGGAACCGUGUUUCUGGGCACACAGCACUUCACGCUCUGGAUGAACAACCCACGAAGUCUUUCAGGAUUCACAGGAUGGAACCACUUUUGAUCUGACUUUCAUUCUUAGCUUAUCAUGUAAAAUGAUACUAGAAACAGCAAAUAGGAGGCUGAUUUUGGAUCUCAGUCUGUGCUCUAAUUAUAGUUGAAACUUUGUAUCAUUGGUUUCACAUUUCUGAGUUAAUCAUUUUUGCCUUUUGCCAGGUCAAAAUAUUAAUACUGGCACUUCCUGGAGUAGCAACAAGUAAUUUAAUGAGCACAAAUUAAUACAGACACAGGAGGAUCACUGUCAUGUCUCUAAUUCCACCAAAAGCUGAAAUUUUCUCAAAGAGCUCAGGAUCAGACUGAUUACAUGAAUGUGUUCCAUCAGAGUACAGCUCUCAACAAAUGUGCAGGAUAUACGUCCAACUAAGCUUGUGUGCCUUAGGAAACUGUCACUGUCUUUGCUUGCUCUCAUUCCUAGGCCCCAGACACUUUUGUUACCGUCCUGGGAUUCCACUAGGAAAGCUGGAUUCCAUUAUUAGCAUACCAGCAUAUGGGGCAUCAGUGACGGACAGCAAAAGAGGCAAAGCUUUGGGAGGAACAAGAUCUGACCAAGGGGAUUCUUCUGGAUAUGAGAGUGCAGUGACAGUGGUCACUCGAGAAUCUGCCCCUGAAGUGGGAGAGUGUUUCUGGAACAGCAGCUCUAACCUAGAGAAAAUUCUGCUAGUGACUCCAUGCUGA
rnacentral:lncRNA from 1 species